rnacentral:rRNA from 1 species
AUUGAACGCUGGCGGCAGGCCUAACACAUGCAAGUCGGGCGAGUGGCGGACGGGUGAGUAAUGUCUGGGACUCUGCCUGAUGGAGGGGGAUAACUACUGGAAACGGUAGCUCAUACCGCAUACCAUCAGAUGAGCCCAGAUGGGAUUAGCUUGUCGGUAGGGUAAAGGCUUACCUAGGCGACGAUCCCUAGCGGGUCUGAGAGGAUGACCGUCCACACUGGAACGGAGACACGGCCCAUACUCCGACGGGAGGCAGAAGUGGGAAAUAUUGCCCAUUGGGCGCAAGCCUGAUGCAGCCAUGCCGCGUGUAUGAAGAAGGCCUUCGGGUUGUAAAGUACGUUCAGUCGGGAGGCGUUACCGACAGAAGAAGCACCGGCUAACGCCGUGCCAGCAGCCGCGGUAAUAC